rnacentral:rRNA from 1 species
AGCGAACGCUGGCGGUAGGCUUAACACAUGCAAGUCGAACGGCAGCACAGUAAGAGCUUGCUCUUACGGGUGGCGAGUGGCGGACGGGUGAGGAAUAUAUCGGAAUCUACUUUUUCGUGGGGGAUAACGUAGGGAAACUUACGCUAAUACCGCAUACGACCCACGGGUGAAAGCAGGGGAUCUUCGGACCUUGCGCGAUUGAAUGAGCCGAUGUCGGAUUUGCUAGUUGGCGGGGUAAAGGCCAACCAAGGCGGCGAUCCGUAGCUGGUCUGAGAGGAUGGUCAGCCACAUGAGAACUGGAACACGGUCCAGGCGCCUGCGGGAGGCAGCAGUGUGGAAUGUGAGGCAGUGGGCGCAAGCCUGAUCCAGCCAUACCGCGUGGGAGAAAGAGGCCUUCGGUUUGUAAAGCCCGUUUGUGGGGAAAAAAAAGCAGCAGGUUAAGACCCCGCUGUUCUGACGGUACCCAAAAAAUAAGCACCGGCUAACUUCGUG